CCUCAAAUCAGGUAGGACUACCCGCUGAACUUAAGCAUAUCAAUAAGCGGAGGAAAAGAAACUAACAAGGAUUCCCCUAGUAACGGCGAGUGAAGCGGGAUGAGCUCAAAUUUAAAAUCUGGCGGCCUCAGGUCGUCCGAGUUGUAGUCUAGAGAAUCGUUUUCCGCGUUGGCCUGUGUACAAGUCCCUUGGAACAGGGCGUCAUAGAGGGUGAGAAUCCCGUCCUUGACACAGAUUACCAAUGCUUUGUGAUGCGAUCUCGAAGAGUCGAGUUGUUUGGGAAUGCAGCUCAAAAUGGGUGGUAAAUUCCAUCUAAAGCUAAAUAUUGGCGAGAGACCGAUAGCGAACAAGUACCGUGAGGGAAAGAUGAAAAGCACUUUGGAAAGAGAGUUAAACAGUACGUGAAAUUGUUAAAAGGGAAACGAUUGAAGUCAGUCAUGCUUUCCGAGACUCAGCCGAUUCUGUCGGUGUACUUCUCGGUUGGCAGGCCAGCAUCAGUUUCGAUCUGUGGAAAAGGUUGGAGGGAACGUGGCAUCUCCGGAUGUGUUAUAGCCCUUCUUCGAAUACAUAGAGCGGGACUGAGGAACGCAGCGCGCCUUUUAUUAGGUUGGCCCUCGGGUACAUACGCGCUUAGGAUGCUGGCAUAAUGGCUUUAAACGACCCGUCUUGAAACACGG
rnacentral:rRNA from 1 species